GAUGAACGCUGGCGGCGUGCCUAAUACAUGCAAGUCGAGCGAACAGACGAGGAGCUUGCUCCUCUGACGUUAGCGGCGGACGGGUGAGUAACACGUGGAUAACCUACCUAUAAGAAUGGGAUAACUUCGGGAAACCGGAGCGAAUACCGGAUAACAUGUUGAACCGCAUGGUUCAACAGUGAAAGACGGUUUGGCUGUCACUUAUAGAUGGAUCCGCGCCGCAUUAGCUAGUUGGUAAGGUAACGGCUUACCAAGGCAACGAUGCGUAGCCGACCUGAGAGGGUGAUCGGCCACACUGGAACUGAGACACGGUCCAGACUCCUACGGGAGGCAGCAGUAGGGAAUCUUCCGCAAUGGGCGAAAGCCUGACGGAGCAACGCCGCGUGCGUGAAGAAGGUCUUCGGAUCGUAAACCUCUGUUAUUAGGGACGAACAAAUGUGUAAGUAACUAUGCACGUCUUGACGGUACCUACUCAGAAAGCCACGGCUAACUACGUG
rnacentral:rRNA from 1 species